UACAGAGGGGGCGAGCGUUGUUCGGAAUUACUGGGCGUAAAGGGCGCGUAGGCGGCCCGCUAAGUCGAACGUGAAAUCCCCAGGCUCAACCUGGGAACUGCGUCCGAUACUGGCAGGCUUGAAUCCGGGAGAGGUGAGUGGAACUCCGAGUGUAGAGGUGAAAUUCGUAGAUAUUCGGAAGAACACCAGUGGCGAAGGCGGCUCACUGGCCCGGUACUGACGCUGAGGUGCGAAAGCGUGGGGAGCAAACAGG
rnacentral:rRNA from 1 species